GACACCAGCCCGGUGGCAGCAGGACCUUCCCAGCUGACAAGGUGGCCUUUCUUUGCACCUGGCAGGGACCAGCAUCCUCAGAUAUCUGAGAGAUAAGUAGAGGGAUAAGACCCACAGAGCUUCAGAUGGAUUAAAUCUGUGCCAGAGGGCCCCAUCCCGUUGAGGGGAUUGCCCCGAGCAGGAAGUAACUCUGGAUACCAGCAGCCAAGGUCAUCAGUGGAGAGAAGUGGUUGUUAUUGCUCAGCUCUCAAGCACAACAAUUUUUCAGCACAUUCAUCGUGUCACAAGAGGCAUCCGCCCAGUGUCAAGGAUGAUGUUUGAGAUUGAGGCUUCAGGUACCACUCCUAAUGAAGGCCACAUCCUUGGAAUCAGGAUGAAGCUGGAGCCUGAAGAAGCCAGGCACACUCAGGAAAGGGCAAGUAGCUGACUUGCAGGAAUUUGGCCCACAUAAGUCUGAACUCAUACUUUGGUUUUGGUUUUCUUUAUUGUAGCUGACUGGGAGGCUAACAGGCGCUCACGGGGCCCUCUGUGGCCGACUCAUUUCAGGUGCAAUGUGGAUUCCCCUCACCGAUCAUCCAAAAGAUAAGUUGGGGGCCAUGGCCUGGAGAUGGGAGCGUAGCAGAUUGGGAGUUCUUGGGAGAGAGUUAAAAAUCAGCAGAGGGAAAAGCAAUCUUGUCCAAGGGCCUGUUAGGACAGCUAAAGGGAGAGGCUGUACUUUUGAUGGCAGCUUUCAGGCGGGCAGUGCAGAACAGCUCCGGUCUGUUUCCUGUUGUCUGGUGUACUGUGUUCCCUAGUGUGUCUUUGGGGUCCCUUUUGCUUUUUCCCCUCAAGGCCCUCACCACAAGCAUGAUGUGUUGUGUUUGGUGUCCCCCUGUUUGUCACGUUCUGUGUCACGGGUGUCUGCGGGUAUUUGUGCCGGAGCUGUUCUGCCCUGCUGCAUGGCCUGCUGCAAUGGGACAAGCCUGGGGAGUUGAAAUUUGAAUGUGGGCUGUACUUGGGCUCUAGGUGCUAUUCCUAGGUUGACAUAAGGUGUUUCCAGCUUGAAAGUUAAAGUUAUUGCGGAGGUGUUUGACAUAUGUUCUAACUUUCUUUCAGGUGUGGAUGCAUUGCAUCCAUGGCAGAGGGUCAGGGUUAGGAGGUGCUGGGCAUUCCUAGGAGCAUGCGGUCUGAGAGACACCAGCCCGGUGCCAGCAGGACCUUCCCAGGUGACGAGGUGGCCUGUCUUUGCACCUGUCACAGGCAUCCCCUGAUGUCUGAGAGAUAAGCAGAGGGCUGCAACCCACAGAGGGGGUGAACGUAGGGUGCUUUGUCAGGACUCCCUGAGGUGGGGGUCUGAGUUGGCUCUGGCAAUGAGGUUAGCCAAGAUGUUGCCCCUUAGGCCCCAUAAAAGCAAAGUCUCCCUUUUGAUCACAGUGCUGAGGUUCGCAGCAGGGCAGAGCAGUCCCGGUGUGUCUCGCGUCACUUGUCUUUUGUGUAUUGUGUGUUGCCUGGAUAUCUCAUGUCUCUUAUCUUAGCCCUGUGAGGGGCCUCUCAGAAAUCUUUCCUAGCAUCCGUGAUCUCAGCGUUCCUCGCCCUGGCACCCAUGCCAUAGAACUUUUGACUGGGGAGCUCACACAGGCAUCAGAAAUGCAUCUCUCUUUAGAAGCGUCCAGUCAGAUGUCUUGUCAUGUCUUGUUCUGAGCUGUACAGACAGCCAUGCUGCGCAAUGAUCCAUUAUAGCAGAGUAGGACUUGUAAGGAUGUGAGGUUAGG